AGUUUGAUCCUGGCUCAGGAUGAACGCUAGCGGCAGGCUUAACACAUGCAAGUCGAGGGGCAGCGCGUUGUAGCAAUACGAUGGCGGCGACCGGCGAAAGGGUGCGUAACGCGUGAGCAACCUGCCCGUAUCCGGGACAUAAGCGGUGGAAACGCCGUCUAAUUUCCCAUAACAACGAGGGCCGCAUGGUCCAUGUUUGAAAGAUGCGUCGGAUACGGAUGGGCUCGCGAGACAUUAGCUAGUCGGCGUGGUAACGGCACACCGAGGCGACGAUGUCUAGGGGUUCUGAGAGGAAGGUCCCCCACACUGGAACUGAGACACGGUCCAGACUCCUACGGGAGGCAGCAGUGAGGAAUAUUGGUCAAUGGGCGCGAGCCUGAACCAGCCAAGUAGCGUGCGGGAUGACGGCCCUACGGGUUGUAAACCGCUUUUGUCAGGGAAUAAAGUGGGGGAUGUGUCCCCUUUUGCAUGUACCUGUCGAAUAAGGACCGGCUAAUUCCGUGCC
rnacentral:rRNA from 1 species